CGACGGGUGAGUAACACGUAUCCAACCUGCCGUCUACUCUUGGACAGCCUUCUGAAAGGAAAGAAUUAAUACAAAAUGGCAUCAUGAGUCCACAUGUUCACAUGAUUAAAGGUAUUCCGGUAGACGAUGGGGAUGCGUUCCAUUAGAUAGUAGGCGGGGUAACGGCCCACCUAGUCUUCGAUGGAUAGGGGUUCUGAGAGGAAGGUCCCCCACAUUGGAACUGAGACACGGUCCAA
rnacentral:rRNA from 1 species